rnacentral:lncRNA from 1 species
GUAGUAUGACCAUUUAUUUUCACUUUGUCUCGUUCUGUAAACAAUGAAUGUUAUUUUAUGAAACAAAAUUUCGUACUCCAUGUACUUCUUUAAAUAGCAUAUUUACCUGACGAUAUCGGGAUAUCGGUAUUUAGUCGGAUCUUAACAUGUACUUAUGAUUUGUUUCAAACCGUUUUUUUUAAAUAAACAAACAAUGUCGAAAUGAACAGGACUUAAUUAAAUCUGUAUUUGGGUAACAUGAUGCAAGCAUACGAUUUUUAUUGCGUCUUAUACUUUGAGAAGCAAACAAUCUUUUACUAAAUCAUUGGAUUAUUGAGAAAAAACGAUAGUUAUGAGCUAUGAAAGUCAAGUGGCUCGAGCAUUUUACUGAGGAAGUUUAAAAAAAUUUCAAAGAAAUAUAUUUUACAGUUGGCUAGCUUUCAUUAGUCUUCACUAUCCUAUAGAUUAACAACUUUUGGUUAUAUUUAUAAUUUAGAUUCCUUAUUGAAGUUGGAGCACGAAUGCACAGUUUAUUAAUUAUAUUGAUGUCCAUUUGUAUGCAAGAGUGAAACUCCUUUGUAUUAUCUGCUGAUUCGAAAAAAAGUUAUGCG